GACGAACGCUGGCGGCGUGCUUAACACAUGCAAGUCGAGCGGAGCGGCGAACGGGUGAGUAACGCGUGAGUAACUGCCCACCUCUCUGGGCUAACAGUUGGAAACGGCUGCUAAUACCGGAUAGUGGGGGAUGAAUCGCGUCCUAUCAGCCUGUUGGUGGGGUAGUGGCCUACCAAGGCGACGACGGGUAGCCGGCCUGAGAGGGCGACCGGCCACAUAGGGCUGAGGUACGGCCCAAACUCCUACGUGAGGCAGCAGUGGGGAAUAUUGCACAAUGGGGGAAACCCUGAUGCAGCAACGCGCGAGCGGGGUGACGGCCUUCUGGUUGUAGACCGCUUUCAGCCAUGACGCGGUAGUGGCAGAAGAAGCAGCGGCUAACUACGUGCCAGCAGCCGCGGUAAUUC
rnacentral:rRNA from 1 species